GAGGGCUGCAAGCUAGCGAUAGUGAGCGAAUCCCAAAAAGCGCGUCGUAGUCCGGAUCGGAGUCUGCAACUCGACUCCGUGAAGUCGGAAUCGCUAGUAAUCGCAAAUCAGAAUGUUGCGGUGAAUACGUUCCCGGGCCUUGUACACACCGCCCGUCACACCAUGGGAGUGGGUUGCACCAGAAGUAGAUAGCUUAACCUUCGGGAGGGCGUUUACCACGGUGUGAUUCAUGACUGGGGUGAAGUCGUAACAAGGUAACCCUAGGGGAACCUGGGGUUGGAUCACCUCCUUACCUUAA
rnacentral:rRNA from 2 species